GGUGGAUUAGCCCACCAACAGAAAUAUCAGGGGUAGUUAUUACAUUAUUAGUGUCGAAUGUACUACACCAGAUGCAUAAAUCAUGCCAACUUGUUAUUUUAUUCAUAUAAGGGUGAUGGGUGUCACAUAUGGAGCAGCAUAUGUUCACUCUUCCAGAGCACCUGAGAUCAGCUCCAGUUUUGGACAGGUUAAUGUUGCUCGGUCUUUAUAGUUUUCUGUAGUGUGUUUUGUGUACUUUUGUUUGUCUGUUGGUCUAAUUUAUUUUUUAGCCCAUUGUGUUUUCAGUUUAUUUACAACUUAUGAGUUUGAAUGUCCCAUAAGUAUCUGUAGCCUCUCUUUUAAAUCAUAUAGCAUGAAUUCAGGAGACAAUCAAGCAGGACAAGCUCCUUACCUUUACUUCUUUUCAUGGGUGCAUGAAAUCCUGCAAGUUAUAACUGUGGUUUAAAAGUAGAUUGAUUGACUGAUUGAUUGAUUGUUUGUGUUUAUUCACCACUUUUAAGCGCCACUUGUAUGCUAUUUCAUGGAGAUCUGUUUUUAUGGGUGAAGGUUGAAAACAAACAGAAUUUUCAUUAAUUAUCAUUAAAAUUGAGAAUGGAAAUAGGGAACAGAUCAGUUUGAAUAAAAACAGUUUUCA
rnacentral:lncRNA from 1 species